AGAUCCCUGCAUACCUGAGGUCUUCCAAAGAGAGGAGAUGGGCCCAGUGCAGCCUUGAUGAAAUCUAGAGGAAGAGAAGAUUUCUGCUAUUGCUCUGCAGCAUCCUGACUGAGUUUGUUGGGAGCCAUGAGCUCUGGUGGUGUUUGCAGCAGUUCCUUCCUUUUAAUUCUCUGCAUGUGAGGAAUGCCCUGAAUGGCAAGCAGACUCUUCCCAGUAUGAAGACCCUCAAAGGACUCACUUGCAGCCCUGCUUGGAUUUGAUUUAAUAUGACAUUCUGAUAUUGCCAGGUCUGUUGUCUUUAUCUGCUGCCUUGUGAUAGCUGAAGACUUAAUGAGACCGUAAAUUUGGAAACAAAUGGUUACCUGAAAAUGUUUUUGUUUUUUUUUUUUAGUAAACACAUUUAUGAUUUUCACAAUAGAAAAGUCACUUUGAAAAUAAUUCAACUUUCUCUAGUUUAGUUUUUAUUUUCAGUCUCACAUCCAAUCUGAUUGUUUGGGAAGAGCAAAGAUUGGGUACUAAGUCACUUGUAGGGUCAGAAAGAAUGCAGCUAGAAUGAGAGGCCAUUCAGGUUCCUGGAGGGAAUUCUUGGGAUUUUGAAAAAUAAGUGGGUUUGUCAUUAACUGCCUUUGCUCACUUCAUAUUAUUUUAUUUAUGCUGCAGUUAUGUUUGUUGAUGGAUUGGCUACCUUGUCUGGCCAACUGCUUAAUCUCACUUUACCAAGUGUGGGUUUGCAGAGAUGUAGGAGCAGAUGGAUACCUUUGUUCCAGUAAAUCUUUU
ensembl:lncRNA